CCUACACAGUACAAUACACACCUUCUCGCUCUAACAUUUUCUCUCUCUACUCCAGACGUUUACCCUCUAGUUCUUCAUAGUUUCAUCUAACAAAUACUUGAUUUGAUUUUAAUUAUGCAUUUUCGCACACAAAUUUUUGAAAUUAUUACGCAAAGGUUCGAUUUCUCAUUUGAAUCUGCAAGUUGAUUUCAUAAGCAAGUAUUUUCAAGAUACAUAUGCUGAUUUAGGUCCAAAAUCGUGGUUUAUGAAGCUUCAUUAUAAUUUUCAGGUUGAUCAUACCUAACUACCUCUACAAUUUGAUGAUUUUGCUGCAAUUUUCUCAACUUUAGAGUGCGGCUCAGGUUGUCCUACAGCCCCAUAAAAAGAUUGUAAAUUUAUUAAUUGGAAGUGGCUCUUCUCAACUUGGUAAGAUCACUAUUGUUAUUGAGCCACACCCCAUUGAUAUCCUAUAUCAGAGCCACACCCCAUUGAUAUCCUAUAUCAACCAAAUUUUGUUGAUAUAAUGGCAAUCUUGUAAUAUUUGUGAACUUUUUCUGAAUUCCACAACUUCACUAGUGGAAUGCUGAUGUGGACUCCGUUUGUCCAAAUUUUUAAUUAAAACUUGUAACGGUACUUAUAUUGACGGAAAAGUUAACGCCAUCUAUUCUAAUCUAUUGAGUUCCCAGAUGGAUGAGGAGAGAGAAUAACAGGUUGCUGCUCGUCAUAAGAGGUAAAUAUGGUUGUCGGCGGUGGAUAAUCCUGUACCAUCGUCGCUCAAACACUCAAAUCAAAAUGCAACUUCUAUUUUCGUCUCAAAUCGCAACAGUAUUUCGCUUUAAACAUGGAGUGCAGGAGAGAGAUUAUGCAAAAUUUCGACAUGGAAGUGUAGAUCCUUAGACCCGAAAUAUCAAGGUAAGAAAUUAUAGCUGAAUAAAUAUGUUAUCCCGUACGAAUAAUCCCUCCAGCAAUUUGGGAUUUGAUUCCUCGAAACCAACAAUGUUCAGCGUACGAUGAACCACUCUUUUUUUAUCAUCAAAAAUCCGACAUUUCCGUCUACACAUUAGUGACCAUUGUUGCAGACUUGCAGUAGAGAGUAGAGAGAGAAUACUCCACUCAUUAGUGACCAUCGUAUUGAGGAGAGAGAAACAAACGUUAACAGCGGUUGACGUCCACCACAAACCAAAACGGAGGACAUAUAACGGGAUAUCAUUUAUAUUCCAAUCUUGUCUUUACUUUAAUGACUGAUUAGACGAAAAAGCCCUUAUAUCAACGCGCUUUGUUGAUAUAGGAUAUGAAUAUGUAUUUGCUCAUUGUUAUUGCUGCUACAAAUUCUAAAACUAAGUUAGAUAUCCUUUAAAGUAGACUAAACUGCUCCAAAAGUUAUUAAACAAAGAGCUUCUGGUUGAGGAUUUUUUCAUAAUUUAAUUUUCACUUGUUAUAGGAUUUACGUAUUCACUAGAAUUUGGUAUCAUUGUACUGUGUUUACUUCAGCUUGUUAUACUUCACAGCCUUCAUUAACUGCUGCUUCAUGUCUCCUUUUCUUUGUCAAAUGAAAAUGUACUAAUGACAAUUUUGAUAUGAAAAAUUCUAUCCAUGAGCAAAAAUGGGUUGUU